UCCUUUAGUUAGAAAUAUAAAAACUUGACUCCGAAACUAAAAUCGAGAAUUCGAAUUGACGAUAAUAAUCAGAGAAUACAAAACUAGUUGUAUUAAAUCCGUAUUGAACGGAAUAAAAUAUAAAAGCGACGAAUCUGUCGUGGCGCAUUUAAAUUUUUAAUCGCCUAACGUGGGUGGGGCGUGUGGCGUGUGGCUAAGCCUCUGAGUCGUCAUAUUUUACUCAUCACAAUAUGUUUUAAAAACACACCGCACAAGAGGUCUUUACACUCGAUUCCUCAAUAACGCCGAGGCCAUUCGCCUGUCAUACAUACAUCUGUGAAUUUUAAAUGCGCCUGUUUUUGUACUCAAUCAUUUUUUAUAACACAAUGUGACUUUACGUAUCGGUUGUGUAUGUUUUGAGGGUAUUGAUAUGCUAAAUUUCUCUUGUGUAAUUAUUUAUCUGAUCUAUACCUAUUUUUGAAAAAUUGUUUAAAAAUCAUUUUUAAAGUUCUGUUUUGUAGCCCUAAACGUAAUGUCAAUUUGGCUUCAUGGAAUUUAAUUGCCAUUUUUUAGUUAGCCUGAGCCAAGGAUUACUUUUAAAAAGGUAAUUCUCGUCACCAGAAACAGAUUUGUUGUGCAGAGUAAACUCGCGUGUGAGACCGAGGGCAAGAGCUAGUUAUUACUAAACAUGCUCCAUUCUAAUUUCCGUUUCUGUUAGACAAACGAUCAUUAUGUCCCGAAACUCGAUCUGUCCGAAGCUCGUUAGACUACAAAACGCUCUCCGACUUAUCGGUUGGGUAACGUAAGCUUGUACGAGAGCUAACCUGUGUAACGUUUAGUGGGCCGUGAACGUAUCAAAUGAUAGUUUCAGUAAGUCGUAAUGCUCAUCAACGCGGCACGUCGGUUCAAGUAUCGAGUUUAAAAUUCAAAAGUAGAUGACAGGGCCGGGCGUCGUUUAUUAAAGUUUCAAGACACGGCACUUCUCAUCUACGCGUACUUACAGAGUCCGGCACGUCGCACUAUUGCGGUGCCGGAGCGCUCGUUGUACACACAUGCGUUACGCGGCUCAACUACCGAUGGUGCUGUAGUGCGUCCCUUGCUCUCGCGCGGUGAAAUUCCGGCUCUCGCUUCGCCGACGUUCCGAUGUCGGUCGCGGUCCGUUCGUCACGUCCCUCGAGUUCGUAUACCUAACGCAUAGAAGCUAGAUUGGCGUGUCGCGUAUUCAAAAUAGGAGCGUUAGUAAUGGAUAAGAGCUGUAUAGGGGGGUGUAUGUGUGCGUGCGUGGCAGCGACCCUCCCCCGCGCCGCCCCCGCCCGGCGACGCCAACGGAGCGAGUGGCGCGCGUUUACACAAUCCGUUGGCUUGGCGCGGCCGACGCUCGCGCCGUGGCGUGCCUUCUCGUGACGACAAUCGACGCGCGAACACGUAUCAUCAAUUGUUUUUUUUAUAUACUGGAACUUCAAGCGAAAACUCAUUCUUCAGCACUUCGAUUCUAAUAGGAAAUUAUACGAUUUUUUUAUUAUACAUCUAAACCUAUUAAGACUUCACCAUGGAUAUUAAGCGGUAGUGAAGCCGGAAAUGUGAAUAAGAGGAUGCGACGAAAUUGUCAAGUCAAUAAAUUUCGCCGUUCACUUCAAAGCUUUACAAAAUGUUUUCAACAUAAAUAAAAUAAACAUAAACCCGUUUACAAAAAUAAAUCUUAACAUUAAAAAAACUGUGAAAUUCGAAAGCUAGGAAGUGACUAUCAGUGCUACAGUGUCAAAAAAUGGCAUUAAACAAGUGCCAUGAUAAAGUAGAAAUUAUUUGAAAAAAAUAAUUGAAGACUAAGAAGUAGAAAAAUGUAAAGAAAACUCGCAUAAUAUGAGUGAUUGUGUUUUCUGGAUUCCAUAUCGAUUACUGGAUUCAAAGAUUAAUUAACAUUCGGAGUUGUACAACACCUGUAUUUCAGUAAGUUUUAUUUACGUAAUAUAAGUUUUAUUUACGUUGGUAUUUAAGUUUUUUUUUGUAAUUUACCUUUUGAUUUUAACUCAGAUCGAGAGAUCUGGAGAUGCUAAUUGGCCAUAAUUACACCUAUUAUUGUAAUUACUAUUAAUUUAACGCCGCUGUUGCAUUUUUUACCUUCUGUGAGGAAAAAUUGUAUAUUUUUAAACUUUAAAACUACUCGCAUAAUAAGUUAAUAUAAUAUUAAUUAAACAAA
rnacentral:lncRNA from 1 species